rnacentral:rRNA from 1 species
UCAAUGGCCGCGGUACCCUGACCGUGCAAAGGUAGCAUAAUCACUUGCCCCUUAAUUAGGGGCUGGCAUGAAAGGACACACGAAAGCUUCCCUGUCUCACAAUAACAAAUAAAAAUUAAUCUUCAAGUGAAAAAGCUUGAAUAAAAUUGCAGGACAAGAAGACCCCGUUGAGCUUUAUUCUCUAUAGACUAAAUCAAAUAUUAAAUACAUCAUAAACCUAAAAAGAAUUUAGUUGGGGUGACUAAGGAACACCGAAAACUUCCUUUUAUUAAUUAGGAUCAUUCUCCAUACAAAUUGACCCAUUACACAUGAUCAAAAAAAUAAGCUACCACAGGGAUAACAGGCUAAUCUUUCUCAAGAGCCCAAAUUGUCAGAAAGGAUUGGCACCUCGAUGUUGGCUUAGGGGCCCCUAAUGGUGCAGAAGCCAUAAAUGGUAGGUUUGUUCAACCUUUAAAACCCUACGUGAUCUGAGUUCA